GGUUCCCUAUUGGUAGGAGAAAAUAACAGAGGCCAACCAGAGAAUAUUGAGAAGCAAAGCAGCUAGUAAGCCUGAUCUUUAUUGAUCUGUUGCAACAGGGUGCUCCCCUCACACACAGGAGAGGAGGAGGAACCCAGAACAAUGGUGCGCAAGGCCUUAUAAAGACUUUUGAAAUUGCCACCCUGGAGAUCCAGACCACUCCCAGAAACAUCAUAC